UACAGAGGUGGCAAGCGUUGUUCGGAAUUACUGGGCGUAAAGAGCUCGUAGGCGGUCUGUCGCGUCGGUCGUGAAAACUUGGGGCUUAACCCUGAGCUUGCGGUCGAUACGGGCAUGACUGGAGUUCGGCAGGGGAGACUGGAAUUCCUGGUGUAGCGGUGAAAUGCGUAGAUAUCGGGAGGAAUACCGAUGGCGAAGGCAGGUCUCUGGGCUAUAACUGACGCUCAUGCACGAAAGCGUGGGGAGCAAACAGG
rnacentral:rRNA from 1 species